rnacentral:rRNA from 1 species
UACGAAGGGGGCUAGCGUUGUUCGGAUUUACUGGGCGUAAAGCGCACGUAGGCGGAUCGUUAAGUCAGGGGUGAAAUCCUGGAGCUCAACUCCAGAACUGCCUUGGAUACUGAGGAUCUUGAGUACGGGAGAGGUGAGUGGAACUGCGAGUGUAGAGGUGAAAUUCGUAGAUAUUCGCAAGAACACCAGUGGCGAAGGCGGCUCACUGGCCCGUAACUGACGCUGAGGCACGAAAGCGUGGGGAGCAAACAGG